rnacentral:rRNA from 1 species
CCUACGGGCGGCUGCAGUGAGGAAUAUUGGUCAAUGGACGAGAGUCUGAACCAGUCAAGUAGCGUGAAGGAUGACUGCCCUAUGGGUUGUAAACUUCUUUUAUAUGGGAAUAAAACGUUCCACGUGUGGGAUUUUGUAUGUACCAUAUGAAUAAGGAUCGGCUAACUCCGUGCCAGCAGCCGCGGUAAUACGGAGGAUCCGAGCGUUAUCCGGAUUUAUUGGGUUUAAAGGGAGCGUAGGUGGAUUGUUAAGUCAGUUGUGAAAGUUUGCGGCUCAACCGUAAAAUUGCAGUUGAAACUGGCAGUCUUGAGUACAGUAGAGGUGGGCGGAAUUCGUGGUGUAGCGGUGAAAUGCUUAGAUAUCACGAAGAACUCCGAUUGCGAAGGCAGUUCACUGGACUGCAACUGACACUGAGGCUCGAAAGUGUGGGUAUCAAACAGGAUUAGAUACCCUGUAGUC